GGACUACAAGGGUUUCUAAUCCUGUUUGCUCCCCACGCUUUCGUGCCUGAGCGUCAGUGUCAGCCCAGGGGGCUGCCUUCGCCAUCGGUGUUCCUCCGCAUCUCUACGCAUUUCACUGCUACACGCGGAAUUCCACCCCCCUCUGCCACACUCUAGCCAGCCAGUUUCCAAUGCCAUUCCCAAGUUGAGCCCGGGGCUUUCACAUCAGACUUAACCAACCGCCUGCGCACGCUUUACGCCCAGUAAUUCCGAUUAACGCUCGCACCCUACGUAUUACCGCGGCUGCUGGCAC
rnacentral:rRNA from 2 species